rnacentral:rRNA from 1 species
UACGUAGGGUGCAAGCGUUGUCCGGAAUUAUUGGGUGUAAAGAGCUCGUAGGCGGUCUGUCGCGUCUGCUGUGAAAACUCAGGGCUUAACCCUGAGCUUGCAGUGGGUACGGGCAGACUAGAGUGCGGUAGGGGAGACUGGAAUUCCUGGUGUAGCGGUGAAAUGCGCAGAUAUCAGGAGGAACACCGGUGGCGAAGGCGGGUCUCUGGGCCGUAACUGACGCUGAGGAGCGAAAGCAUGGGGAGCGAACAGG